rnacentral:lncRNA from 1 species
AAAAAAAGAAGGAGAGGGUGGGAAGGGAAAAGAAAGAAAGAAAAAGAAGUAGAAUAGAGAGAGGGAAUGAGAAAGAGAAGGAAAAUAAAUAAAUAGAAAAGGAAAGGAGAGUUUGUUGUUUAAGGAAGAUUAGGUGUUUAAGAAAAUGUAAUUUUUUUGUUAUAAAUUAAUGUUAAUGUUAAUUUGUUUUUGUUGUUAUUAUUGUUGAUUUAAUUCAGAUUUAAUUUUUAAUUUUAUUUUUGUAAG